rnacentral:rRNA from 1 species
AUCCUGGCUCAGAUUGAACGCUGGCGGCGUGCUUAACACAUGCAAGUCGCGCAUGAAAGGACUUCGGUCCGAGUAAAGCGGCGCACGGGUGAGUAACGCGUGGAUGAUCUACCCAUGAGUUAGGAAUAACGGCUGGAAACGGUCGCUAAUACCAAAUACGCUCCGAUUUCAACUUCGGGGGGAAAGGUGGCCUCUGCUUGCAAGCUACUGCUCAUGGAUGAGUCCGCGUCCCAUUAGCUAGUUGGUGGGGUAACGGCCCACCAAGGCGACGAUGGGUAGCCGGUCUGAGAGGAUGACCGGCCACACUGGGACUGGAACGCGGCCCAGACUCCUACGGGAGGCAGCAGUGGGGAAUAUUGCGCAAUGGGCGAAAGCCUGACGCAGCGACGCCGCGUGAGGGAUGAAGGUCCUCGGAUCGUAAACCUCUGUCAGGAGGGAAGAACCGCCACGGUGCUAAUCAGCCGUGGUCUGACGGUACCUCCAAAGGAAGCACCGGCUAACUCCGUGCCAGCCGCAGC